UGUAUCAAGUAUUCAUAGAAAUGCAAGAAAGAAUUCUAUGUGACUUGCUGUCAAGAAAUUGAAUGAAAGAUGUCCAUUGUAAUUUCCAUGCAUAUAUUUAGAGUUGGGCUCUUCUGUGAUAACCAUUUCCUGGCAAUCACAGUAGAACAG